rnacentral:misc_RNA from 1 species
AAUUAUCAAUCUUUUAUUAGUCUUUUUAGACUGAUAGACGACUUGGAUGUGGGAGUUUGCUGGUUUCUCUUUUGAAAUGAGCUCUCCUCAAAUGCAUUAGCUGGGUAACAACAAAAUAACCUUGGUGUGAUAAUUAUCUAUGCCAUGUGUAUAUACUUGUGUAGCGCACCCGCUUAUUAGACAACUACUUUUUGACA